rnacentral:tRNA from 1 species
AGCAGUGUGGCUUAGUGGAAAGCACCGGCUUGGGAGUCAGAAGUCACGGGUUCUAAUCCUGGCUCUGCCA